UACGAAGGUCCCAAGCGUUAUCCGGAUUUAUUGGGUUUAAAGGGUGCGUAGGCGGGUUAUUAAGUCAGUGGUGAAAGCUCCAUGCCUAACAUGGAAAUUGCCAUUGAUACUGAUGAUCUUGAGUACAUUUGAAGUGGGCGGAAUGUGUCAUGUAGCGGUGAAAUGCUUAGAUAUGACACAGAACACCGAUUGCGUAGGCAGCUCGCUAAACUGUAACUGACGCUGAGGCACGAAAGCGUGGGGAGCAAACAGG
rnacentral:rRNA from 1 species